rnacentral:lncRNA from 1 species
UGCUGUGGCUAUGGAGUAGGCCAGCAGCUACAGCUCUGAUUAGACCCCUAGCCUGGGAACCUCCAUAUGCCAGGGGUGCGGCCCUAGAAAAAAACAAAAAUAAAUAAAUAAAUAAAUAAACAAACAAAUAAGUAAGUAAAAUUAAAAACAUUUGAGAGCCACUAGUUUUAUUCACGCUCAUUUUAUUACUAAUGUAAUUUGCAUCAACUAUUUUUAAAAAUUCAAACAACAUGAGUAUAUACAGUGUUAAAAAUGGAAGCUACCCCUACACUCUAAUCAUUCACUAAAUCUUUCUCCAAAUAAAUAUUCACUGUCAACAAUUUGGAAUGUAAAACCCUUGCUUUAAAUGGAGGACUCUCCUUUAAAACACUUUGUCAGACUCUAUAGGACGCCUCCUUCUGUGAGCACUGCCCUAGCAAUGCCUCACCCCUGGGAGAAAAGAUACCUUUUUCGUUUCAAUGGCUAGAGACCCAGUUGUGGCCUCACAAACUGGACAUCUGCCAGCAAGACCAGAAUGUCAGCCUUUGCAGACAGCCUUCCAUAAAGUCCUAAUAAAAGAAGCCUAGAAUUGCUUAAACAUUGAUGAGUAACUGUUCAGAUUUAUUUGUUCCUGACAUUAUAUGCCAACCCUUGCAGUUGAAAAUUAAACGAUAAUAUACUUCCCCUUCUGUUCCACAAAGCAAUAACCUGUUUCCCUGGUGGAUAAUCAGAGGCCAAAGGGUGUGUAAUUUAUCACAAAAGAGAAACGGGAGGAUUGCCAAAAGUAACAAAGGGGCAAUGAUACACUUGCUUCUACUAUAUGGCACCGGUUUAAUUAAGGUAAAGCUAAUAAACUUUCCCAGCAAUGCUAGGUAAAGUCCAGUCUUCUCCUUAAAGCCAAGGUGGCCAGCCAGAUCACAGAAAACAGGGAGUAAGAGAUAUCAUAUUAAUCACCUUUUUUAUGGUCAAGAGCUAUAUUCCUGGGGAUCAAAAGACUAGUGUUUCUGGAGUUCCCGUUGUGGCGCAGUGGUUAACGAAUCCAACUAGGAACCAUGAGGUUGUGGGUUCGGUCCCUGCCCUUGCUCAGUGGGUUGAAGAUCUGGCGUUGCCAUGAGCUGUGGUGUAGGUCGCAGACGCGGCUCGGAUCCUGCGUUGCUGUGGCUCUGGCGUAGGCCGGAGGCUAAAGCUCUGUUCGACCCCUGGCAUGGGAACCUCCAUAUGCCGCGGGAGCGGCC